GUGGGCAUAGCUCAGUGGUAGAGCGCGUGCUUAGCACACACGAAGUCUAGGUUCAAUCCCCAGUACCUCCA
rnacentral:tRNA from 1 species